rnacentral:rRNA from 1 species
AUUGAACGCUGGCGGCAGGCUUAACACAUGCAAGUCGAGCGAGCGGCGGACGGGUGAGUAAUGUCUGGGAAACUGCCUGAUGGAGGGGGAUAACUACUGGAAACGGUAGCUAAUACCGCAUACCAUCAGAUGUGCCCAGAUGGGAUUAGCUAGUAGGUGGGGUAAUGGCUCACCUAGGCGACGAUCCCUAGCUGGUCUGAGAGGAUGACAAGCCACACUGGAACUGAGCUACGGGCCAGACUCAAACGGGAGGAAGCAGUGGGGAAUAUGGGACAAUGGGAGAAAGCCUGAUGCAGCCAUGCCGAGUGUGUUAAGAAGGCCUUCGGGUUGUAAAGCAAUUUCAGUGAGGAGGCGUUACUCGCAGAAGAAGCACCGGCUAACUCCGUGCCAGCAGCCGCGGUAAUAC